rnacentral:rRNA from 1 species
GGCGGCGUGCUUAACACAUGCAAGUCGAACGGAGUUGAUUUAAGGAAGCAAGCUUGCUUGAAGAAUUGAAUUAACUUAGUGGCGGACGGGCGAGUAACACGUGAGCAACCUACCUCUUACAGGGGAAUAACAACGGGAAACCGUUGCUAAUACCGCAUGAUAUGUGCUGAAGGCAUCUUUGGCACAUCAAAAGAGCAAUCUGGUGGGAGAUGGGCUCGCGUCUGAUUAGCUAGUUGGUAAGGUAACGGCCUACCAAGGCGACGAUCAGUAGCCGGACUGAGAGGUCGAACGGCCGCAUUGGGACUGAGACACGGCCCAGACUCCUACGGGAGGCAGCAGUGGGGAAUAUUGGGCAAUGGGCGAAAGCCUGACCCAGCAACGCCGCGUGAAUGAUGAAGGCCUUCGGGUUGUAAAAUUCUUUGGACAGGGACGAAGAAAGUGACGUACCU